rnacentral:rRNA from 1 species
GGAGUUAGCCGGUGCUUCUUCUGUGAGUGAUGUCCUUCCUGCCGGCUAUUAACCCGCAGGCCUUCUUCCUCACUGAAAGUGCUUUACAACCCGAAGGCCUUCUUCACACACGCGGCAUGGCUGGAUCAGGGUUGCCCCCAUUGUCCAAUAUUCCCCACUGCUGCCUCCCGUAGGAGUCUGGGCCGUGUCUCAGUCCCAGUGUGGCUGAUCAUCCUCUCAGACCAGCUACGGAUCGUCGCCUUGGUGAGCCGUUACCUCACCAACCAGCUAAUCCGACAUAGGCUCAUCCGAUAGCGCGAGGCCCGAAGGUCCCCCGCUUUCCCCCGUAGGGCGUAUGCGGUAUUAGCCUGGGUUUCCCCAGGUUAUCCCCCACUACCGGGCAGAUUCCUAUGCAUUACUCACCCGUCCGCCGCUCGCCACCAGGGAGCAAGCUCCCCGUGCUGCCGCUCGACUUGCAUGUGUUAGGCCUGCCGCCAGCGUCAUCUGAGCGAGAUACAACUACUGA